rnacentral:rRNA from 1 species
UGGCGGCAGGCUUAACACAUGCAAGUCGAGCGGAGAGAGGUAGCUUGCUACUGAUCUUAGCGGCGGACGGGUGAGUAAUGCUUAGGAAUCUGCCUAUUAGUGGGGGACAACAUUUCGAAAGGAAUGCUAAUACCGCAUACGUCCUACGGGAGAAAGCAGGGGAUCUUCGGACCUUGCGCUAAUAGAUGAGCCUAAGUCGGAUUAGCUAGUUGGUGGGGUAAAGGCCUACCAAGGCGACGAUCUGUAGCGGGUCUGAGAGGAUGAUCCGCCACACUGGGACUGAGACACGGCCCAGACUCCUACGGGAGGCAGCAGUGGGGAAUAUUGGACAAUGGGCGCAAGCCUGAUCCAGCCAUGCCGCGUGUGUGAAGAAGGCCUUAUGGUUGUAAAGCACUUUAAGCGAGGAGGAGGCUACUUUAGUUAAUACCUAGAGAUAGUGGACGUUACUCGCAGAAUAAGCACCGGCUAACUCUGUGCCAGCAGCCGCGGUAAUACAGAGGGUGCAAGCGUUAAUCGGAUUUACUGGGCGUAAAGCGCGCGUAGGCGGCUAAUUAAGUCAAAUGUGAAAUCCCCGAGCUUAACUUGGGAAUUGCAUUCGAUACUGGUUAGCUAGAGUGUGGGAGAGGAUGGUAGAAUUCCAGGUGUAGCGGUGAAAUGCGUAGAGAUCUGGAGGAAUACCGAUGGCGAAGGCAGCCAUCUGGCCUAACACUGACGCUGAGGUGCGAAAGCAUGGGGAGCAAACAGGAUUAGAUACCCUGGUAGUCCAUGCCGUAAACGAUGUCUACUAGCCGUUGGGGCCUUUGAGGCUUUAGUGGCGCAGCUAACGCGAUAAGUAGACCGCCUGGGGAGUACGGUCGCAAGACUAAAACUCAAAUGAAUUGACGGGGGCCCGCACAAGCGGUGGAGCAUGUGGUUUAAUUCGAUGCAACGCGAAGAACCUUACCUGGCCUUGACAUAGUAAGAACUUUCCAGAGAUGGAUUGGUGCCUUCGGGAACUUACAUACAGGUGCUGCAUGGCUGUCGUCAGCUCGUGUCGUGAGAUGUUGGGUUAAGUCCCGCAACGAGCGCAACCCUUUUCCUUAUUUGCCAGCGAGUAAUGUCGGGAACUUUAAGGAUACUGCCAGUGACAAACUGGAGGAAGGCGGGGACGACGUCAAGUCAUCAUGGCCCUUACGGCCAGGGCUACACACGUGCUACAAUGGUCGGUACAAAGGGUUGCUACCUAGCGAUAGGAUGCUAAUCUCAAAAAGCCGAUCGUAGUCCGGAUUGG